UACAGAGGUCUUAAGCGUUGUUCGGAUUUACUGGGCGUAAAGGGUGCGUAGGUGGCGGGGUAAGUCUGGUGUGAAAGCUUCGAGCUCAACUCGGAAAAGCAUUGGAAACUAUCCCGCUGGAGGGUCGGAGGGGAGACUGGAAUUCUCGGUGUAGCAGUGAAAUGCGUAGAUAUCGAGAGGAACACCAGUGGCGAAGGCGAGUCUCUGGACGACUCCUGACGCUGAGGCGCGAAAGCGAGGGGAGCAAACAGG
rnacentral:rRNA from 1 species